CUAAGUUUACUUUUCAAGUUACCUUCCAUUCAUAACUUCUACUAGCCAACAUCUACAGGCUUUAAGCCAAAAUAAACCAACAGCUUGAGGCUGUCUACACUGGACAUGACAAACCGACCAUUGCAAAUCAUUUUGUGUCAGUACUAGAGGGGGGUCUCAAUAUUUUCUGGGAUUUUAUCGAUAGAGAUAAUUAUUAAAGAUAAAAGAUUAAAGAUUAUUAGAUUAUAUUUUGCUGAGUGUGUUAAUGUGCUGAUAUCUUAAGGACUACUGUGGACAGCUGACUCCUAAAGUUUUUGAUAUUCUUCAUAUUCUGUGUGGUCAGUUCACAGCAGUGAUAGAAAUCAAUAUUUUCCAAUAAGUUUAAAUUGAUUUUUACCUUUUAUGGGCAUUUUUACCUUUAAAAGCUGUUACUAAACAAAUGAAAUCAGUAUCGACAAAAUUAAUCUUUGCAGAAGUUGCACAUUUAAUGUCAUUAAGAUGUAGGCUAUUUACACGUUAAAGCAUCUUAGAGGGGCAUGGAAUGCAGUUAUAAAUGCAUAAAUAAAUAUUUUGAUAUUUUAAACAUGAAAUGUUGAAUACUGAUAUUUGAAAUUAUUUAAAAAAUGAAAAGAUAUUUUAAAUGUUAAAACUGCCAGUAGGUGGCAGCAAGUCACUGUUAAUAAGUGAGUCAUUGCGCCUGAACCGAAUCAUUUAAACGGUUGAUUUACUCAGGAACGAAACACUGUCGUGUUGUUCAGAGACGUAAAACAGUGCUGUGGUUGUGUUUGGAUUGUUUUUGUUGUUGUUGACGAAAUAGAGCAAAAACAGCCACUAUGGUGUCAAAAAAGUAGUUCUAAAUGACAUCAUCCUUCAGGAAGUGACAUCAUCGAUUUGGAGGGAAAUCAACAGCACAAACACAAAGUUUCCAGGAAUCCAGAACUCAGGAUUGGAAUAGAGCAGACUUGAGUGAUAAUGCAGACGUGAAGAACUGACCUUGAGAGAUGGAUCACCCUCUGAAAAGCGAGCCUGUAGCAGGAGCGUAAUACCUACAAAUCAAUAUGUUCAAAAGGCAGAACAUUCCUCUAUGCUUCUUGCAGACUUCAAAUGCCAUUCUGGACAAUUAAAGUCCUUUAGACUCUCCUGUUGAUGCUGAUUGGAAUAUAAUAAGAUAAAGGGCAUAUAAUAGCCCAAUGUGUGCAGUCCAUUUAGACAGUGGAACAUUUACAUUACACUUUACAGUAAUACAAUGUGCUCUGUGAGUACAAAUGUCUUCGCAGAAGUGCUUUAAAGCUUUAUUGUGAGUAAGGAGGAGAAACAAUAUGGGAAUAAAUUAGAUCCUAUGUGAUUUUUGGCUGAGGAGUUCUGCAGCUGUUUUAUUUUUUAAUGAAUAUUGUUUGACUCAAAAAAAGAAGGAAAGAUUUUAGAGACACCUAAAAUCAUUAUGGAGCUGAUAGUGUAUGAAACCGUUUUUGACUAUCCGUUUUAAUAACAAUUUAAGCUUGUAAAUGUGAGUGUGUUUUGGAACAUUGUUUCUUAGCUGGUUCAGGCUGUUCACUAACUGGUUGAUCAGGUACAGUGUUCAUAAAACCAGUUUGAUUGCCUUAAGAUACGACUAGUUGGUAAAGCCC
ensembl:lncRNA